CCCCUAGAUGUUCUGGGCCGCACGCGCGCUACACUGAACAGUUCAACAAGUCUUAACCUUGGCCGAUAGGUUUGGGUAAUCUUUGAACGCUGUUCGUGAUUGGGAUAGACCUUUGCAAUUAUGGGUCUUCAACGAGGAAUUCCUAGUAAACGCAAGUCAUCAGCUUGCAUUGAUUACGUCCCUGCCCUUUGUACACACCGCCCGUCGCACCUACCGAUUGAAUGGUCCGGUGAAAUCUCGGGACGGCGGCUUGGUCGCUUGCGUCCGACUGCUGAAACUUGAUUAAACCAUAUCAUUUAGAGGAAGGUGAANUCGUAACA
rnacentral:rRNA from 1 species